GGACUUACCGUGAGAUGUGCUGCUGCGCCAGUGCCCGAGUAAAUGCUUCCCCAGCGCUGCUCUAUGUCGGACAAGUAUAUUUGUUGACAAAGAUUUGUGUGAAUACAGAGGAUGUGUUCAACUCACUCUUUGCAGCUGCAUUCAUGUUUAUUCUUAGCAUGGUUGCAGUUUCAACAUUCACAGUGAAGGGCACUUUGAGCGGAGGGAUCGUGGGCUUUGUGGCUGCAGCCUUGUGGUCAUUGGAUGGCUAUAUUCUUUUAAAAAAAAUCACAUUCAACAAGCCAAGAACCACCACAAGAGCCCAAACAGGGGAAGAGUAAUGCCUCAUAACUGUGUUGACUCAUUUAGUGAGUGAGUGGGCCAUUUUUACAGCCAAAAUGAGAGUGUCAAGUAUAUUAUACUGUUGUAUGAUGUAUACUUUUGUUCAUAAAUAAUGUGCAAAAGAAUUAGAAUCACUGAAAAGACUGAAACCUACACACAAAUCUGCAAAAUAAAGGGUUUCAAACAGAUUCUGGAGGUGCAAUUGAUAAAUAAAUGCUGAGAAAAUUGUCUUUAAA
rnacentral:lncRNA from 1 species